rnacentral:rRNA from 1 species
GUAAGGAAUAUUGGUCAAUGGACGAAAGUCUGAACCAGCCAUGCCGCGUGGAGGAUGAAGGUCCUCUGGAUUGUAAACUUCUUUUAUAUGGGACGAAAAUGGGGCUUUCUAGCUCAACUGACGGUACCAUAUGAAUAAGCACCGGCUAACUCCGUGCCAGCAGCCGCGGUAAUACGGAGGGUGCAAGCGUUAUCCGGAUUCACUGGGUUUAAAGGGUGCGUAGGUGGAUUGGUAAGUCAGAGGUGAAAUCUCCGGGCUCAACUCGGAAACUGCCUUUGAUACUAUUAAUCUUGAAUAUUGUGGAGGUUAGCGGAAUAUGUCAUGUAGCGGUGAAAUGCUUAGAUAUGACAUAGAACACCAAUUGCGAAGGCAGCUGGCUACACAUAUAUUGACACUGAGGCACGAAAGCGUGGGGAUCAAACAGGAUUAGAUACCCCGGUAGUCC